rnacentral:rRNA from 1 species
UACGAAGGGGGCUAGCGUUGCUCGGAAUCACUGGGCGUAAAGCGCACGUAGGCGGCUUCUUAAGUCAGGGGUGAAAUCCUGGAGCUCAACUCCAGAGCUCCUUUGAUACUGAGGAGCUUGAGUCCGGGAGAGGUGAGUGGAACUGCGAGUGUAGAGGUGAAAUUCGUAGAUAUUCGCAAGAACACCAGUGGCGAAGGCGGCUCACUGGCCCGGUACUGACGCUGAGGUGCGAAAGCGUGGGGAGCAAACAGG